rnacentral:rRNA from 1 species
GAUGAACGCUGGCGGCGUGCCUAAUACAUGCAAGUAGAACGCUGAAGGAAGGAGCUUGCUCUUUCCGGAUGAGUUGCGAACGGGUGAGUAACGCGUAGGUAACCUGCCUGGUAGCGGGGGAUAACUAUUGGAAACGAUAGCUAAUACCGCAUAACAGUAGAUGUUGCAUGACAACUAUUUGAAAGGGGCAAUUGCUCCACUACCAGAUGGACCUGCGUUGUAUUAGCUAGUUGGUGAGGUAACGGCUCACCAAGGCGACGAUACAUAGCCGACCUGAGAGGGUGAUCGGCCACACUGGGACUGAGACACGGCCCAGACUCCUACGGGAGGCAGCAGUAGGGAAUCUUCGGCAAUGGACGGAAGUCUGACCGAGCAACGCCGCGUGAGUGGAGAAGGUUUUCGGAUCGUAAAGCUCUGUUGUAAGAGAAGAACGAGUGUGAGAGUGGAAAGUUCACACUGUGACGGUAUCUUACCAGAAAGGGACGGCUAACUACGUG